rnacentral:rRNA from 1 species
UACAGGGGCCUCGAGCGUUAGGCGGAAUCACUGGGCUUAAAGCGUGUGUAGGCGGACUGGUAAGUACCUUGUGAAAUCCCACAGCUUAACUGUGGAACUGCUCGGUAUACUGCUGGUCUUGAGCCACUCAGGGGCUACCGGAACAAAUGGUGGAGCGGUGAAAUGCGUAGAAUAUCAUUUGGAACGCCAAUGGUGAAAACAGGUAGCUGGGGGUGUGACUGGACGCUGGAGACACGAAAGCCAGGGGAGCAAACGGG